GAUAAUAGGCUGAUAACUCCCAAGAGCUCUUAUUUAUCAGAGUUGUGUGACACCUUGAUUUCGGCUCACCACAUCUUGGGGUUGAAGAAGAUCCCAAAGGUUCGAUUGUUUAUUGAUUCAAGUGGUACGUGAGUUGGACGUAGAACAUGGUGAGACAGUUA
rnacentral:ncRNA from 1 species